GGCUCCGUAGCUCAGUGGAUUAGAGCAGCAGGUUUCUACCCUGUAGGUCGCAAGUUCGAAUCUUGCCGGGGUCACCA
rnacentral:tRNA from 1 species